UUGAGCGGAGAUAUAUGGAGCUUGCUUUAUAUAACUUAGCAGCGAACGGGUGAGUAACACGUAGAUAAUCUAUCCUAUACUGGGGGAUAGCCCGAUGAAAGUUGGAUUAAUACCGCAUAUAGCUAUAUAGUUGCAUGAUUAUGUAGUGAAAGAUUUAUUGGUAUAGGAGGAGUCUGCGGCACAUUAGCUAGUAGGUGAAGUAAAGGCUUACCUAGGCGACGAUGUGUAGCCGGUCUGAGAGGAUGAACGGCCACAAUGGAACUGAGACACGGUCCAUACUCCUACGGGAGGCAGCAGUGGGGAAUAUUGCACAAUGGGGGAAACCCUGAUGCAGCAACGCCGCGUGAGUGAAGAAGGUUUUCGGAUUGUAAAGCUCUGUUAGCAGGGAAGAGGAAGGACGGUACCUGCAGAGGAAGCCACGGCUAACUACGUGCCAGCAGCCGCGGUAAUACGUAGGUGGCAAGCGUUGUUCGGAAUAACUGGGCGUAAAGGAUGCGUAGGCGGUUAAACAAGUUAUAUGUUAAAUAUAUAGGCUUAACCUGUAGAAAGCAUAUAAAACUGUUUAACUAGAGUGCAGGAGAGGUAAGUGGAAUUCCUAGUGGUAGCGGUGAAAUGCGUAGAGAUUAGGAAGAACACCAGUGGCGAAGGCGACUUACUGGACUGUAACUGACGCUGAGGCAUGAGAGCAUGGGGAGCAAACAGGAUUAGAUACCCUGGUAGUCCAUGCUGUAAACGAUGGGUACUA
rnacentral:rRNA from 1 species